rnacentral:tRNA from 1 species
GCCGCCGUGGUGAAAUGGUAUACACGAGAGACUUAAAAUCUCUUGGGAGAAAUCCCGUAUCGGUUCGAGUCCGAUCGGCGGCA